rfam:Hordeum vulgare subsp. vulgare, WGS project CAJW01000000 data, contig: morex_contig_2335816
GGAUGCCAUGAGGUAUCUGAUGCUUGGUCUGCUUUCGUGGCCUUGUUUCUUAUUAGAUUGGCAGACAUCAAGAAGGAAACAGGUUUUCGCGACACUGGCUGCUCUCAUAGAAGGAGCUUCCUGUUACUAUACCCCGUUUACACAU